rnacentral:rRNA from 1 species
UACAGAGGGUGCGAGCGUUAAUCGGAAUUACUGGGCGUAAAGCGCGCGUAGGCGGCUUUGCAAGUCGGGUGUGAAAUCCCCAGGCUUAACCUGGGAACUGCAUUCGAGACUGCAUUGCUAGAGUAUGGGAGAGGGAAGUGGAAUUUCCGGUGUAGCGGUGAAAUGCGUAGAUAUCGGAAGGAACAUCAGGGCGAAAGCGACUUCCUGGACCAAUACUGACGCUCAUGUGCGAAAGCGUGGGGAGCAAACAGG